AAAAGGGGAAAACACCUGUAAGCCCGCAGCAAGAAUGGUCUCUAUUGAAAGUCAUGUUAAGUGGGAUGGACUUUAACUACAUACGGUUAAAGGAAACCUUAGAAGAACGGCAGCUAAUCCCCUUUUUGCAGCAUGCAGCCAACGAGAUCCUAAAUUCGUGUCUUUUUACGCUGUCCUAAGGUCCACCCAGCAGACAGAUAAGAUGAGAUGGUGCACUGGCUCAUUUAAAGUCCUGAUCUCAACCUGACUGAAAUGCUGCAAUGAGGUAAUAAGAGAGCUAUGCAUAAACAAAUUCCUGUAAACCUUAAUAAAUGGAAGAAAUCUUGCAAAGAAGGGUUUGGUAUAAAUUCUCCACAAACAUUUAACCCAAGAAAUAACAUAAAGGAAUAAUAUGAUGAAGCCCUGAUGACUAACAGUAUGAUUUCCAUGUAUUACUGCUAUUUCCUCUGCAUGUUGUGUUUCUUAUCUAAAGACAGCAGUUGGGUGGGAGGCUUGGCAGUGCUAACAUGAAUUUGAUGUCCCAAGUGUUCAUCUAAAUGGUAAUUUAAUUCAAUACAGCUUUAAAGGCCUUUUUAUCCAGCUACCAAUCCAGGUCAAGGGACACAUAGACAAGGGAUUGUAGGAGAAAGAAAAACUAUUAAACACAAAUGUUUAAAGCUUACAAGACAAAUGCUAAAAUCAGAAAGCUGAUUAAAGUAACUUUCAAAGUAGUGCAUGUAAUAGCUGCACUAAGCAUCUACAGUCAUGCUACCAGUUCGGUCACUGCCUGAUCCAUACCAGAAACCCAAUUUGUCCUAGUUUGCAAAGUCCACGUUGAACCUUACCUGUGUUUGUGCAGUGAAUUAUGUCCGUUCUUAUUUUGAUAAUAAAUAAAACAUAGACCUGAUAUCCACUUCCACCAGCUUAUCCAGGAGGACACCAAUGGUGUCCCCAGUUCUGCCCAAAAAAUAUACUCUCUCCAGCAUGUCCUCGCCACGCUGUCCAUUAUGUGGACAGUGGUUCAUCCUUUGAGUUAGGUGCCUAUGAUUGAUUAUAAAUCACUGAUUCAUAGAUCAGUGAAUUAUGUGGCUUAACAAACAAACUGAAAAUUGUCAGGGACCAGGAAUGGACUGAAAAUGAGUGAAAAAUCAGCCAAUGAAAAAUAUUGAAAAACUGCCUCAAAAGCUGGAAAACAAUUUAGAAAGCUUUAAAAAAAUAUACUAGAAAAUCUGUCAAACUUUUUCCUGCAACUUUAAGACAAACACAAUAAAACACAAUGGAUUCGUUUCUGUUUGUUUGUUUCUUGGACCGCAUGGUGGAACAGUGGGAAGCACUGCUGCCUCACAGCCAGAAGGUCCUGGGGUUUGAAUCCACCAUCUGGCUGGGGCCUUUCUGUGUGGAGUCUGCAUGUCCUCCAUGGUACUCCAGCUUGCUCUCACAGAUCAAAGACAUGCAGUUAGUGGACUUCGGUUAGUUGGCGAUUCUAAAUUGUCCACAGAUGUGAAUGGCUCUCUGCUUCUCUGUGUCAGCCUAGCUGGUGACCUGUGCAGGGUGUACCCUCUCACCCUACGGGAGCUGGGAUGGGCUCCAGCCCUCCCCAAACCCUGAUUUGGAUAAGAUGAAGAAAACAGAUAAUUUCUUUCCAUGCCAAUCAGUACAAAGCUGAUAAAUAACUGGAAAUGUUGAAAAACGAUACUUAAAGAUAUUUUCAGGCAACAUUUAAACCUCAAGAGAGACAAGGCCAUGUCCAGCAGACAGAAAGGUCAGUGCGGAGUCUCCAGAGAAAUUGUGAAUGUAGUGAAGUCAAGUCAGAUAUGUGCUUUUCAAAUGUCUGUUAGUUUAUGCUUGAAAUUAACUCCGGCACAUCAACAAAUGCUACAAAUGUCUUUAUAAAACUAAUGCCAGCUAGUUAGUAAGUAAAGGCUGCCUUUCUGGUAUGUAUGUAAUUCAUCCACACACUUUUGUUGUGGCUUCACCCAUUCCCCACAGCCUGAUGACGACACACAGCGUCAGUCUGUAUCUAAAAACAACAAAGCACCUAGGAUGGCUAUGUAAGGAUUAACAUAAUGGCUCCGAUGAGACGCUCAUACACACACACACAAAUACACGUGCAUUUGUGAGUGACAACUUGGCAUCGUCUGCCAGCAUCAUACUGUGAGCUCUCCUCAGCGUAGCAGCCUCAAUCUGUUAAGCAAAGACGUCAAUGUGUGAAGUUUCCUGGCACUGAAGCUCGUGCCAGCGCUGAGGAUGCUCAUCACUCUCUCACACACACACGACAUCACAGUACACUAAUAUGGAAAAUGCAGACAGAUAAUGGAAUGGAAGGGGUGUUAUAUACCCUUUAUUUCUAUUUUUAUUAGAUUUCAUCGUUUUAAUGAUAAUAAAUACAUUUACAUAUAUGUCAAAGUAUUUAUUUAAACUUACAUUUCCUCAUUAUAAUAAGAAACUACUGCGUAAUAUAAAAAAAAAUAAAGGUACAUCAUAGACUUUAAAGCCAUCAUAUGACAUAAACAUGAAAAUACAAUGUGAACUCGUAGCAGUGUAGUGUAAUAUUAACCUGGUGAAAUGGUCCCACAGACGCUGUCAAACCACAACAGCAGCAGACAACUUACAAACUAAACCAACACAAACACUGCUAACCAGCAAUUAGCAAAAGCUGCUAUUUCGGUCUCACACCUCCCGUCCUGGGAUUCAAAAUCCACAGGACACCCCUGUGAAAAUCAACCCCCUCAUUACCAGCUUCUUCCGCAUCCUUUCAUAUUUUCACACCAAAGUUGAAUCAUCUUCCUCAAAAGGAAAAGAAUAAGCUAUUUUUGUAAU